rnacentral:rRNA from 1 species
CGCAUAUCAAUAAGCGGAGGAAAAGAAACUANCAAGGAUUCCCNUAGUAACGGCGAGCGAAGCGGGAAGAGCUCAAAUUUGAAAGCUGGCGUCUUCGGCGUCCGCGUUGUAAUCUCGAGACGUGUUUUCCGUGCGGCUCUAUGGACAAGUCCCUUGGAACAGGGCAUCGUAGAGGGUGAAAAUCCCGUACUUGCCAUGGAAGUACCGUGCUUUGUGAUACACGCUCCAAGAGUCGAGUAGUUUGGGAUUGCUGCUCAAAGUGGGUGGUAGACUCCAUCUAAAGCUAAAUAUCGGGGAGAGACCGAUAGCGAACAAGUACCGUGAGGGAAAGAUGAAAAGCACUUUGGAAAGAGAGUUAAAAGUACGUGAAAUUGUCGAAAGGGAAGCACUUGAAGUCAGCCAUGCUGCUUGAGACUCAGCCUGGCUUUUGCUUGGUGUAUUUCUCGGUAGCAAGCCAGCAUUGGUUUGUGUCGUCGGAGAAGCGUAUGGGGAAUGUGGCAUCCUCGGAUGUGUUAUAGCCCUGUGCAGGAUACGACGACGUAGACCAAGGAACGCAGUGUGCCCUCUGGGCGGGUCUUCGGACACCUUCACACUUAGGAUGCUGGCGUAAUGGCUUUAAGUGGCCCGUCUUGAAACACGGACC